UGGGGAAUAUUGGACAAUGGGCGCAAGCCUGAUCCAGCCAUGCCGCGUGAGUGAUGAAGGCCUUAGGGUUGUAAAGCUCUUUUAGCAGGGAAGAUAAUGACGGUACCUGCAGAAAAAGCCCCGGCUAACUUCGUGCCAGCAGCCGCGGUAAUACGAAGGGGGCUAGCGUUGCUCGGAAUUACUGGGCGUAAAGCGCACGUAGGCGGACUCUUAAGUCGGUGGUGAAAUCCUGGAGCUCAACUCCAGAACUGCCUUCGAUACUGGGAGUCUUGAGUUCGGGAGAGGUGAGUGGAACUGCGAGUGUAGAGGUGAAAUUCGUAGAUAUUCGCAAGAACACCAGUGGCGAAGGCGGCUCACUGGCCCGAUACUGACGCUGAGGUGCGAAAGCGUGGGGAGCAA
rnacentral:rRNA from 1 species